rnacentral:rRNA from 1 species
AACGCGAAGAACCUUACCUGGGCUCGAAGUGUCGGUGACCAUCCCGAGAAAUCAGGACUUCUCGCAAGAGACACCGAUAGAGGUGCUGCAUGGCUGUCGUCAGCUCGUGCCGUGAGGUGUUGGGUUAAGUCCCGCAACGAGCGCAACCCUUACUCUUAGUUGCCACCCGCAAGGGGGAACUCUAAGAGGACUGCUCCGGAUAACGGAGAGGAAGGUGGGGAUGACGUCAAGUCAGCAUGGCCUUUAUGUCCAGGGCUACACACGUGUUACAAUGCGCGGUACAAACCGUCGCGAACCCGCGAGGGGGAGCUAAUCGGAAAAAACCGCGCUCAGUUCGGAUUGCAGUCUGCAACUCGACUGCAUGAAGCCGGAAUCGCUAGUAAUGGCGUAUCAGAACGACGCCGUGAAUACGUUCCCGGGCCUUGUACACACCGACGCGUA